UUGUCCUUCAUAUAGAUAAAAAGAUCCCUAUUUGGGGUGUCCCAGAAUAUAGGUCGAAAUUGAGUGAGGCGGAGAAAUCAAACUUAGGUUUCUUUGAGUGGAAGAGGCCGGAGGAUCCUCCAUGGGACGUUUACCAGAGGCUUUUUCGCCUAAAAGAUUAGAGUGUUCGGAGUAUGCUUCUUGAGAAGAGGCACAACCCUCAGAACGAUCAGACUCUAAGUCUACUUGCUUAGGAGGCACAAAUAAGGGUUUUGCCUUUGAGCGGGUUCUUUUUCUGGUGGAAGCAGAGAGGUUUUUGGAAGAUUUUGCCAUGGAAGAAGAAGGGGUUGGUACAGGUUGAGGAAAGGGUUGGUACAGGUUGAAGAGAGAAUAUGGAGAUGAAAGGCACUGAAAAUGGCUAAACUUAAAGAGAAGAGAUUUGACGGUUGAGUACAGGAAAUGAAGGUGUG
rnacentral:lncRNA from 1 species